rnacentral:lncRNA from 1 species
AUGUCCUCUAAGACGGUCGCUGUCAAGUGUGGGCACAUACAAGGUUCACCCUGUAGACCUGGGCCCGCCAAACCCGCUCAGACUGAAGGCCUCAUAACCAUCCAGAACCCUUUUUCCUGGGUUCAUAAAAGCCCAGCAGUCUGGCACCUGCUGUUAAACCCAUCAACAGGAUCAGGGCACGAAUGGACCCAACGCCUAGCAGGCUGUGGGAGACCCCUGGGGUGCUUGAUCUUGGAGCCCAGGAGCAACCCUGCACGCCAAACCUCCAGGGGUCAGGAGCAGGCGUGGGCAAGGGCCUUUGGUUCUGUGCGAGGCCAGCACCCCCUUCCCACAGCACAGAGGCUCUCGGAAAGGACACAUCAGGACAUGGGAACAGGCCCAAAGCGGGCCGGCCUUCAUCACGGGGUUAUUCUUCCUCCAGGGAACCACUCGCACCAGGUUGCCAAGGGCUUUACAGGAGUAGCGGUGGAGAAUCUGCAUGACACUCUCGUGAUGGGGCUGUGUUCCGAUUUCCACCUUGCAGACAGCAAAACUGUGCUUCCGGAGGGCCGUGUGACUGCCCAAGGCCUCGGCCAGGAGGUGAAGACAACGACUUCCAUGCUCAGCAAGUUGAGCUCUCCCACGCCUAAAAGGAGAGCAUUCUAUCCCUUUUCCCUCUGGAGCUGGCAGGUCCCUCAGGGACCAGGGGAGGGGGCUCUCUUCCAGGGGGAGCUGGAGGGACAGGUGCCUGAUGGGCCAUGCUACCCUGCCACUUGGCCAGCUGCCUCUCCCUGCUGCUCUUCAACUGUCUACCCAUGCUGGGCCAGCCCAGGGCCCAAGACCAAGGCCAGGCACCAGGCACCAGGCACCUACCCAAAGUUUGCCAGUGACCCCACAGGGUGGCUGGCUCCAAUUAGGAGAAUGACCAGAGGAGUCGAGGAGCCUGGACAAGUCACGAGUCACUUCAAACCCUUGAGGACUCACUCAGGCAGCAGGCCACCUGUCCCCCAGCCUUUCAAAUUCUGA